ACCCGAGCCCUGCUCCCUCGCCGUUACCCAUCUCAGGUGGCGGGGGCAGCUGCAGGUUACCACACCCGUUGGGGGCCCCGCUGAGCACCCCGGAGCAGCCGGCUGCCUGGUCGGGCCCCAGAAGGAUGGGAUGGGAGCGGGAUACGGAAAGUCCGGUGCGGCGAGACCUCACGCCCCCUCGGAGGGGCGCGGAAAGGAGUGAUGGCGGUGGGGCUGCCGAAAGGCAAGGCGAGGAAGGCUGUCGUCGGGUGCCACGUCUCAUCCGCCUUUCACUGGAUAACGCCGGGGUCUCGCGGGUCGCCGCCGAAGCUUGGUCGCCCUGUACGGGCUAGGAAAAGUCUAGCAGAAGAGGCGAUCACCUCUCAGCCUCAAAAUUCAGGCUUACCUUCCCAAUCUUAACUACCUCUGCUAAAUCAGGGCUUCAGUGAGAAAGAGAGAUACCCCAGAAAGGCCGUUCUUCCGCCGAAAUAACUCGAAACAAAAAAACACCGUAAAACUUAAUCACCGCUUACCUGUCCUCGACAGUCUCCAAAUAUUCCUUAUGGUGCGUUAGAGGGAACUCUCCAUGCGAGGCUUCACUAUAAUAUACCGGAAUUAAAUGAGAGGCUUCACCAAAGGGAUGGGCAGAGGGAAAGGUACCCUGCAAACUUGCCGCGAUAAAUCAAACAUGCCAGCGAAAGGCAAAAGAGACCUCGACCCAUCAGCCUAAUAACACGGUUGACGUGAAUCCGAGGAGUUUCUCUAUCGGUUCCUCACACUGCAAAUUUAGGUUUUGCUACUAGUUCAGGAGGCCAGAAGAGCCGCAGGGGAGAGAGAGGCGAGAGCGGGACCCCUCUUUCCCCGCGCUGCUUUUACAGCCCACACCUCGGCAGGGCCAGCGCUGGCUCACUGGGAUUCGUGGCGUUGGCAGCGGCUGCGGAACCAUCUGCACGGGGCUGCGAGCGAGCCCUGAUAAGCUCCGAAUUACUCUGUAAUUGAAAAUAUAUUUUUAGGAAAGGCUGGUUUUACAAAUAUCAAGGGUGUAGGCUUUUGAUCCUUUCUGCUGCCUGUGUUCUCCAGUUGCUAAUAAAACUCGCAUUGAGCUCCUUAGUGGCUUGAUUAACAGGCAGAUUAACUGUUACUGGGGUUUUGAACAGCUUGUCCCAAUCAAUAGCAUUUAAAAAGCCCGUCAGGAUGCGCUAAGCUUCCACCCCCCUUCUCCUCUGAAGGCUUUUCGAGAGGGUCUGGUUUGCUUGACACUUUUCGCAUAUAUAUAUAUAUGUACAUAUAUAAGAAAGCUUUCUUGUACGGAAAUAUGUAUAUUCGUCUUCCAGUUUCAGAGAGACUUCAGCAUGGUCCACAAAGCCUUUUUUUUUUUCAUCCCGGCAGUCAAAGCUGUACCUUAUGCAAAAGGCCAACAGAAAAGAGGUUAAAUCGAUUCCAAACUUUUGGCAGACUGUUUAUAAACUAGAAAAGCUCCACUUAACUCAGUGUCCUGUGCAUUAUAGGUUUCAAACACUGUCUCUACAUAUACAAAUAGGCAUUAAGUGUCCUGAAGGCAAAAGCAUUGUAGUCUAAGACGUCAGAACUUGUGUAUCUCUUCAG